AAAAAAGGGUGUCAUCUUUGCAUAUUGCACUUUGUCUUAUGCACUUGAUACACUGUCUAGAAAGUUUGUCUUUAGGCAAUCAGAUGGUGACAUAACAGAAAAAAACAAACCCAAAACAUAGUAGACCAGUUAUUUACUUUUUACUCCACUGGCAAAUUACCAUGUAUGGAUAACAUCACGUUCAGGUUUCACAACUGUGUUUAAAACUCUACCUGGUUUGAAUAUACUGCCAGCUGUCCAGCUGCUUUAAAACAAAUAGUGGAAAAUACACAUUUUAUAGUCCUGUUAUAUUUGGGUGGGGCAGUGUUUAGAAAGCAGUGAGUAAGAUUCACCUGUCUUUGCCUGGCCAGUAUUGUAAGGUAGUGUUUACUAAUUAUUGCACUUGAUAACAGGAGUUCAGCAGCAUACAGCCUGCAGAUUUCUUUCUUUUUGUGAGGGUGAGAAUGACCUUUUUCUGUUUCUUCAAAGAAGAGGUGUGAUGUAUGAAACAGCCUUUCAGUUUUACAUUAGAGGGAUAUUGUGUUAGUAAUCAAAUUGAAUUGGACUUGUGCUGAGCAUUAAGUAGUGUGCUUAUUGAAGAAACCCCCUAAAGGUUUAAAAAGCCUUCGUGUUAACAGUUGGUUUCAUGUAAAGAAAUCACUGGAACAAAAAUCCCUGUCCUGAAUUUUACCCUCUGCUGAGUGCCACUAACUUAAGAACUUAAGCCUUGGCUUUUGUUACAUCUGACUGGAGAUGUGUUUGGAGACCAGAAUCAUUUUCCACUGGAGCAGCAAGAAUCCAGAAUUUCAACAUCUCAUUCAGUUUUCUACCAUUAAAUUCCACUUUGCAUUGGGUCUAAAAUCCUUGUAACAAAUGCUGUGAUACUUGUUUUCAGCUUACUGUAUAUUAUGUUUUGCCAAAAAGGGAGAAUUGCUGAGCAGCAGCUGUGGAUGAAACCAUGCAUGGAUCUGCAGGGUUGGUGCUGUGUCAGUGAGGUGGCACUGCAUUGAUUUACCACUCCUCUAGACAAAUUAGCAUGUGAUUAUUUUUAGAGGUUGAGUAGCAGUGUUACAACACAUUCUUCUACACACAAGAGGAAUAAACGCCCUGCAGACACUGUGGCACUGGUGUGUUUGUGACAGCAGAUGGCAGUAGGAGUAAAGGAGUGAGGGUGGAAUGGCUUCUUUUAAAACUAUGGAAAAGUACUCACGGAGAGGCUCUCAAAAACUCAUCUUCUGUGUCAGUGUCUAAAGUGAAAUGGCAGGUUUUUAAAUGAAAUGGCAGUUUGUAAAACUGUCCUGAGUUUUUGGAAAUCUGGCCUGCAAUGUAUGGAGGGCUUUCUGUGCAUUUGUGGUGCAGUCCUUCAUUCAGUGGGUUCAAACACUGCCGGAGCAGAGACUCCUUAGUUUGGGGUGCUGCAUCUCGAGCUCAGCUGGCUCUGGAGAAUUCACUGUGCCCAACCACCUUGAACUUGAGGCCCCUGGAAUGGUGGCCUGGUUUAAAGAUCCUGCUUUUGAAAUCUCAAUAUGGGACACUGUGGAAACUGAAACUUGCAAAACUACUUUUUGGUUCUCAGUUUAUAUUCAACAGAUGUAGCAAAAUCAUGGAAAUCUCUUUUCCUUUGGAAACCUGGUUAAAUUUGCAUGAUAAGUUAAAAAACGUUAGGACAUCUCACUGAGUGGUAAUGGUAUUUUCAAAGGCCCUCAACAAAAUAUGAAGUGUUGCUUACACAUUUAGCACUGGAAUUUUGUUAUUUUCAGAAAUAUUAACUGUAUGACUAGUUAAAUAGUAAGUUAUAAUGAAAAAAUUAUUUUUCCAAACAAAAAGUUUACUUCUGUCCUUAGUAAUUAUUAUUAGCUCUAAUGCAAUAUUAACCAUGAGGCAGCUGAUGGCAAUACUUAAUAUCUUUUUUAUAUUAAAUCCUUAUUGUAAUGCUCACAUGUGCAAUAUUUACUCAAGAUGAAGUUAGAAUGAAUAACAACAUCAGAAACUACAAAAGAGAAAUAGCAGACAAAGUUGUAGUGAAAAGUAAAAGGUACAUUCUGGUUUCACAGGGUCUAAUUUAUACAAGCCUCAAAAAGGCAUGACAAUACAUCCCCUGAUUCAGACUGUGUUCUACAAUGUUCCUGAGGAAAAUUCUCAUAACUUUCUAUACUUCCUGACAUUUUCAUUCUUUUUAUUGUGUUAGUAGUAGUGAUAAAAGAUUAGACAGGUUUAAUACUUUGUAAUGAAUUUUGGCAAGACUUUAAUCUGAUCCCAGAAUUUAUGGAACAUUAGUAGAUGUCACAAUUGAUUUUUUCAAAAAGAGUCUGUGUUAUUGAAUAUAUCUGGAGCAUUAUUGAAGUGUCUGUUACAAUACAAAGGUGUCUCAGGCUUAUGUUUGUCAAAUCUGAAACAGGAGUAAGACUUCAGAGAGUGAUUUGGCACAUUCCCAUGUGAAACAUGUAAACUUCCUUAAAUACCUUAAUUAGUAGUAUAUGCUGCUGGAAUUAGGUUAAUCAGUGCAUUGCUAUGUAAAAGUGAUGUAUGGCUAGGAUGCAGUAAUUAGCAUUAGCAGCCUUGGAGUGCCAGACAGGUGUUCGGUGUUAAAUAAAGAGAUAUCUCUAAAUCAUGAGAGAUGUGCUUGUAGAUAUGAAGUGGUGCUAUGUCAUAAAUGUGGAUGCGUGUGUCCACUGGACUGCCAGUCAGCAGUACCAGGUUGAUUUCUACAAACAAAAAGAAUUGUUCUAUUUUCCCUUGGAGCACAUCUGUUCAGAGUGAACCCUGGGCCCUCUCUACCCUUAGUCAGACUCUUGUACCAGCACUUCCUGUGUAGUGUUGUGAAAGAACAGCAUGAUUUUUCAUCAAAAAUCAAAAUUUCUUUAUUUAGAAAGGGAAAAUAGUCUGCUUUCUGUAGAACUGGCAGAAGGAUGGAGAUGAAGUAUGAGUAGCAGAGACCUGAGGUAGCUUUGUAAGUGAAUUGACUGCUCUGUAGAUGCUGGUGCUUUUCUCUGGAUCCAGCUCUGUAGAGAAGAAUGACUCCAAAGUGCAGUUGUAUUGAGCUGAGAAUCUUGUUUCUUAUGAACUGCUCUACAAAUCUUUGUAGUCAUGUUUCUUUUGUCUACAUACUGAUUUUUCUGAUAAAGAUUAAGUAGUUUUCUAGAAAUUGUAGAAACUAUUGCAAAGAGAUUGGUAUCUUCUGAUAAUCUUAUACAUAUGUAAACUGUAAGUGGCUUGUGCUUUUUAUUGGUUGUAAAAAUCCAAAGUAAUGUGGAGAGGUUCUCCACUGCACACUAAAAAUAUAUUUGUUCCAAAUUUUCUCUUAAAGUCUUUUUUAUAGAAAUUCAGGAGCACAAGAGAACCAUUAUUGAUCAUGAAAUAAGUUACAUAACCCAAGAAAAAUUUGAGAGAACACCUUUAAGCUCUGGUGUGAACUGUGUUGUCUGAGGUGGUACUGUAAGAAUAGCCACAGGUUCAUAUUUCUGCACAAUUUCUUAUUUCUGCAGGCAGUAAGUCUUUGGGCUUUUUUAUUGUUGGUAGGGUUUUUCAUUAUGAUUUUUGAAAUCCCUUCUAUAAAUAUUAACUUUAGCAGAACUGAAACUGCAUUUCAUAUUCUGCAAAGUAAAAAUUUCCAUCUCAAAUGCCACGUCUGGUAGCCCAUAGGAUUCACUCUUGCAGCUGUUUUCUCAGAAGCACACAAAUAUCUCCUGAAGUAAUCUAAUAAUAGAAAGAAUUAAAGAAUUAGCAUCCCAGUGCUUUUUUAUGAAUACUGCUUGAUGUUUUCUCCAGUUCAUUCUGAGCAUUGUGAUCAGGACUGGAGUAACUCAAGGGGAGGACCUGUAACACCAUCUUUCAAUCUUGCACUGUAAAAAAAAAGAGUAAUAUUUCUCAGCUUUUCAUAAAACUAAAUGUCCUUUAUCGGGGAUUAAGGGAAACUUCAAGGUAUCCCAGUACCAUAACACAUGAAUGUAAAAUGAAAAAUAAUGUAAAUCAAAUCCAGUACCUUCUGAAAUGAGUUGCCUGAAGGUACUGAACUAUAAUGUCAAAAUUUAAAGCAACUGUGAAAUGUUAAUUUGUGAAUACAUGGAGUUAAAUGCCUCACAGUUGGCAUUUCACUGUGCUUAUUUAACAGCCUGCCAUUUCAGCAUUUAAUCCUAUCAAAAGAAAGAAGAAGGAUUAAAGCAAGAAAAGCUUUUUGAAAAUGUCACUUUUUAUGAAAAUUCAUGAUCUUGUAAAACUUGGUAAUAUUUGUAAAUACAAUGGGGAAUAGUUCUGAGAUUUGUGCCUUACAUAAUAUUCUGUAAUCUGUCUUUCAAAUAAACUUGAAGGCCAUCAGGAUUUUUUCAGUUUCAUCCUAAACAUUUAAGCUUUUUGACUUGGGGCUUCAGAAAGCUUUACUGUGGUUUAAUGAACAACCUUCUGUGAAAAUGCACUGUAGUUCUUUAUUACUUAGAAACUGUUGAAUAUGAACAUUAAAAAAACCCCACCAAAACCCCACUGACAGAGGGGUUUAUUUCAGUGUAUAUUCAGACAGUUUUUAGAGCUCAAUGCCAUUAUUCCAGUCGCAGCCUGACCUGGAACAGAAUGUGCAUCCAAGCCUGGGGCUUCCCUUCCCUGCACCUUUUUCUCCCUAUGUCCAAAUUUGACAUUAUGAUUUUCCCUGGAGUCCUACAGUCGUUGACUGCAUGCAACAAAUCUGACUUGCUGAGUUUCAAAUUUAAAAUAGUAGAUGAAAAGAUUAAUGGAUAAAAUAACUUGAGUGAGAAGAAGCUGUGCUGAGCAAUGCUUAGUGCUCUCUGUGUUCUUGCACUUCCCCAUCCCUAGCUCUUACUCUGAGUUGCCAGUAAGGCUGAUUCCUGGUCCUUGGAUUUAGGAGGAGCUCUUCUGCUACUUGUCUUGCAUAGUGAAAGAAGUUUGAUUUGAUGCCACCUAAUUCCAGCUGAAACCUCCAUUAGAUUUUGUAGCCAAGUUGUAUUCAGAUGCCAUUGGUGAUACUGUCUAUCCAGCUGAGGUUUUCCAAGCUGAUAUUUUGCAAGGCAUUGACCUCUGAAAAUGUGGCAGUGGCCUCCUGAUUCAUCAGAGUCAUGAAAGAGGCUCCAGCCUUUUAGUUGUUAUGUUGUGUGAAUUGUCCUUAGUAAGACUUUUCUGUUUGACUGUUCCAGGACAAAAGCUAGAUGAAACUUCAGGCUUACUCAGGAUUAGUUCUGUUCUGUUUUUUACACAGCUGAUCUGAAAAGAAACCCAUUUUUUCUGUGUUUUUACUCAUGGAUUAGCCAACCUGUACUACAGAUUCUGUGAGUUACCUUUCAGUUGACUAUUUUAUGUAUCAUCCUGAUGGUACGCAGUUUGACUCUCAUUGUAAGCUUUUCUUGUCAUACUUUUAAUGUACUGGUUAAUAUUUAAAGGUAUAAUUUACUGUUUACUUAAUGUAACUAUUAAGUAAACAGUAAAUUAUAGCUCUUCCUUAGAAAUGCUUAUAAAACUGAAGACUGUUUCAGAGUCCCACCUGGUGUGGUGCUGAUGAUUCCUUUUUUUUUCCCUGUUCUUAUUGCCUGUUCUGUAAAAGGUCCAAAUAUUGAAUGCAGUAAAGAGUUUUAAGUAGGUUUUACAGCAGCUGUCUUUCUCAUUUGCAAAGAAAUUGAUUUACAGUGAUAGCUGAUCUUGCUAAGUAAAUAGAUGGCUGAUGCAUGAAUGCUAACUGUGUUUGUAUAAACAGUAUGGCUUAUUGUAAGAGAGAUAAGAGUGUUUUAUUGACCAGAGUACACAGAGUGGUUCCUGGGUAAUUCAGUAUUUCUGGAAUGACUUUUUCAAUUAUUUUAUUACAUCCUAUUGCAAAGUUACACAGCCAGAUGAGCUGGCAGCUUGGAGGCUGCCUCACAUGGCUGAAGCGGAAGGGAAGGGACUUGGUUAAACACAGAUGUCUACAGCCACCUGUGGAAAAAUAAGCUAGUUCUAUUCUCAUUGGUUUGUAGUUUGUUUUCCUCUUUAGCUUUCCGGUUUAAUUUUAAAAUAUAUUUUCUCUGAUAACCUUGUAAUGGUUUGCCUUUUCCUAACGUAGUUUUUCUUUCAGUUUGAAAGGCUGGGAUCUGCUCUUACAAAGGAGGUAGUAACUGGAGCUAAUUUACUCAUGUGUAUGGAUUUUAGUGAUGUUGCAAUGUUUCCCUACCAAAUCAAGAUCUCAUCAAGAUGGGCAGGUUGACAGCUGUUUUCCUUCCACUGGUGAAUAGUUAUGUAUCCCAAAAUAAUGAAGAAGGGGAGUCUGUGCUUGCAUGUGUAAUUACUGAACAGAAAUGUUUUCCAGAGAGAAAGCCUGAGACUGCGUACAAAGCUGUGGGAAAGGGGCCCGUGGCAGUUGCUCAGUGGGAAUUUGUCUGAGCGUUACUGCCACGAGCAGUUCAUCAUCUGGAAGUUCAUCUUGCAGUUAAGGAAGAGAAAAUUACGUUGGAGUUUCUGCAGAUUGUCAAAGGAUAGGCAAGUGCUUGUAGUUGUCACAGAACAGCUGAUGUUAACUUCUGCCCUUCAGGAAUCUGAUAUUGUCCUUGCUUCCAAGUAUAAAUAUCUCACCUGUUUAUGGACUUGGAGUGCUUAAUAACUACUGGGAAGAUCAUACAGAAAAUCUCAGCUGCUUGAUUCUGAUUCUUAUUUUUUGCUUACACUGGCUAAAUUAACAAUUACGUUAGCUUAAAAAGUAUCAUCAGGUUGCAUACCAGGAAGAAAUUUGGAAUGGAGAUUUAAAAAAAUAUCCUAAUUAAUAACUGUAAAGUAAUUAUUUAUAUUAAUUAUUUAACUAGUAAACCUACCAUUCUUUAACACAGGUAUUUGAUGCCCUUCAAUGGGAUAGAAAUGAAUUUUCAUGCACCACAAAUAGUUGAUGUCUAGUCAUUUUAAAUUUUAUGGUUUGAGUGUCAAAAUACACGUAUAAAAUGUGCUGAGUGACUGCAAAGAAAGCCUUUAAUUUUGUGGGAGGAAUUCCUUAUUCUGAGUACAGUCUAAUGUAUUGUAACUGUUUUUAUGAAGUCAAAUGCUUUAAGUAGUUCAGAUUCUUGAACUCAGGGUAAUGCAGUGUUGUUACAUGUGUCACAUCUUGCUUUCCUAGAAUGUAAUUAUUUAACUGAACAUUAUCUCAAAUCAACUGUUUAUCUUUUUUCUUUCUUUCUCCCUCUUCAAUCACAAGCUGAACCAGAAAUUAGGUGUUUGUCUCAGUCUUACAAGUCUCUUUUAGGUCUGGUGGAGCUCAAGACAUGGAUGCCACACAGAGUGAAUGAGAACAGUGGUAUAUUUAUACAGUUAUCUAUGGUUACUGCAUUACCUGUUACUGUGGCUGUUCUAUGUCUGUAGAAUAGCAGGAGUGGAAUCUCACUUUGUGGGCAAAAGUAAAUAUUAAGAUAAUUAUCAGUGCAAGAUAAGGGAUUCUUAUUGGUGA